rnacentral:rRNA from 1 species
UACAGAGGGUGCAAGCGUUUGUUCGGAAUUAUUGGGCGUAAAGCGCGUGUAGGCGGUGAUGUAUGUCGGGUGUGAAAGCCCUCAGCUUAACUGAGGAAGUGCGCCCGAAACUACAUCGCUAGAGUGCCGGAGAGGGUGGCGGAAUUCCCGGUGUAGAGGUGAAAUUCGUAGAUAUCGGGAGGAACACCAGUGGCGAAGGCGGCCACCUGGACGGACACUGACGCUGAGACGCGAAAGCGUGGGUAGCAAACAGG